UUUUUCAAACAUUCUCUUUAGAGGAGAAAGUCUGGAUACGUUAUCCUUGGCAGCCCAUUCCAGUCAGCUGAUAAGUUUGCGACACCGUACGGAUCUAUGUGACUGAUUAUCAUCCGGUUUGUUAGCAUUGUGCGAGUCAUGUGAUGUGAGCGCAAACACUAUUUUUGAAGAAUUCCAUUUCUGAGAUUGAACGUCUGUCGGUGAGUGCAACAGCUGAGGAUGUCCACCAACACCCGCCGUGCGAUGUGAUGACCCAUUCCCCUUCGUAGGGGAUGACGGAGGUAAUCGUGGAAGACACAAAGACAUACACAUACACACUCUCUCAAAUACACUUGCAUUCAAGCACACACGCACGCAAACGCACACAAAAGCAUACACACACAGUAAACGUAGCCUGUGAGCGAUAGUGUGUAGAUAAAUCGAGUCUGGCAGGAUGCAGUAACCUUGAGUACCAGUGAAGCAUCAGCUGACGUCUUGGUAACUUACAACAGUUCAUUGACGGGAGAUAGAGAUAUACAGCUGACGGACAGAGGCUCAGAAUACCACAGGCUUAACGUUAACCCUCACCCAGAACCUCUUGUGAGCCCCAGCCCCACGUCACUCUUCCCGGGUAAUGCGACAACUUACCCGAAACUGAUGUUAUACGAGUUGUGCGGCGCUGCAAGCACACAACCUGCAAACGCAAGCGAGCUGAGCAUACCUCCUUAGUCGGCCGGGCGUCAAACCCCCCCCCCCUCAAAACCCCCAUAUUCACCUGCAGCUGAGAUGAGCAACAAAGAAGCACACCAGAAACAGAAAGAGGAGAAAAAAGCGGAAUGACAGAAGGGAGAACGCCAAGCAAAAAAAAAAAAAAAAAAAAAAAACACAGUUCCCCCUCCACCAACGACACCGAGUGCGAGUGGAGUGUUGCAAGUACCACCACGUGUUCGGUGCUCCCCAGUCUGACUAGUAACACGGCUUCUGUUGUGAUAAAUGAUAACAACAGUCAAAACAUUGCAAGACAGGAAGCGUCUAAUUUAAGCAAUGUGGAUGCGGGUGGGUUUAAAUUCGUAGAAAAGGGGGAAAAAAGAGAAAAAAUAAAGAUCUAAUGUCAAAUCCCUACAGGGGGGACCUAUACACUACAGACACAUAGGAAGUAGAUAUGGAGAAUCAUCUGAUCGUCAAUUAUUCAAAACAAAAAAGAGUCAUUUAUAUUAAUCCAGCUUCACUGUUUCACUUAACCAAUGAGCCAAACAACUAUUUACUAAUAUCUGACGUGCCGACGGAGCGGGCAGAGCGGUAAGCACUCUCCGAAGGGACGGCGGGUCUGGGACAAAUAUUGUACAUAUAAUGAUUCAUACACACACAUUACUUAUUACGCACAACGGGUUUUCACAAUCUUUAAGCCGUAAAAACUAACACUCCCCGUGUGUAAAAUGAAAAGGAGCCUAGGCGCAACUGAAAACAAACGCAUAAAAAGUAAUAUUUAAUAUGGUAGCUUGGACAAAUACAUAAAAGACAAAAGUAUAAGAGAUCUUGCGUAUACUGCUGGUGUACACAUUCCUUAUCUUACAAAGCAGCUUCGAAUCCUCCGUUUGUCACCGUGCAACACAAUGAUAAUUGCAUAAAGUGAAAAAUGCAGCUCGACUACUGCCUCUAUAUAUACAAAGGCUACUCUAGGCAUGCAAUCAACCGUAAGGAUCUCUGGCUUACUGCUAGCAUACUCUUGCUCAGGUAAAUUAACCCGUCGAUUGGGAGAGAGAGAGAGUACCUGUAGCCCGGCCCGUGCGAGCGUGACUCUCCGUUUCAUCUCCCACACCUUCGUCAAUGCUUCGGAGGCGGAACAAGCAGGUAAGUGUUUUAUAGUACUCGAGGCUUUUGAAUAUUGAAUAAAACUGUAAAUAUUUCUAUGGAUUGAGGAUUGUAGUAGAAACAAAGGUACAAACAAAACAAAGUAUAUAAAUUUAUAUUAUUGUGAAAAGAGAAUUGCGUCGCUUCAAUGUCCACUGAGGUUGUCUUAGUGGUUUCACACGGUGGAGGUCCAAGGUGGUCGUGGGCAGAGAUUCCAGGCGUACAGCCCUGCCAUAAAUAGCCUGGGACCCCAAGUUGGUUGACAUUAUCAGCUUGGUUAUCACUUAAAAUGUCAACUGACCAUUUCAUAACAUAUACCUUAUCUUAUAUAAUUGAAGUUUGUUAACAACACACCCAAUAAUCAUUCACUCACAUGCACAUAUACUUUGAUAAUGUAUAUACUUUUCUAUUUACAUCCUCAUUUGUAGGAAUACAUGUAUAUAUCCCAUUGUUUGAUUAUCAUGUCUUGUCAAAAUUGCCAAAAAUCAGUCUUAACUGACAGACUAAAUACCCUAUCUAUCAAAUUCACCAAAUUGCUAGCCUAUCUGAGCAGGGUAUACAAGUGUCACUAUACUGGAUACCUUCUCAUAUAUGAAUAUCAACAAGUGAUAAGGUGGAUAAGAUAGCAAAACAAGCACUUUCUCGUGAAGAGUUAUCAGCUGUUUUCGAGCCAGAAAGUCUCAAGGUCGUCUUUUGGUGGAAUGAUAUAUUUUAUAGUGUUGCAAGGGACUGUAUCUUUGAUAAAAAUAACAACGCCACCACCGCUUUCUAAUUUUGUUGAAUGAGUGGUACGCCUGUACCGGUCCGAGGUUUCAUAUAUUGGUCUUCAACCAUAAUUUUGUGAUAUCUGCAAUAUCGCGCGUGUGUGUGUGUUUGCUUUUGCGUACGUUUGCGUGCGUGUGUGCUUGAAUGCAAGUGUAUUUGAGAGAGUGUAUGUGUAUGUCUCUGUGUCUUCCACGAUUACCUCUCAUCCCCUACGAAGGGGAAUGGGUCAUCACAUCGCACGGCGGGUGUUGGUGGACAUCCUCAGCUGUUGCAGUCACCGACAGACGUUCAAUCUCAGAAAUGGAAUUCUUCAAAUAUAGUGUUUGCGCUCACAUCACAUGACUGAAAUAGAUGUAUAUCAGUCUAGACAUGCAUAUCUAUCGUAUACAUGGAGAUAAAUGUACAUAUAUCUGUUAGAUGAACGGAUAUGAAUUUAUUUCUGUGUAUACGCAUAUUUGUAUAAAGAAGAUUCACUGGGUCGGACCUCGCACAAUGCUAACAAACCGGAUGAUAAUCAGUCACAUAGAUCCGUACGGUGUCGCAAACUUAUCAGCUGACUGGAAUGGGCUGCCAAGGAUAACGUAUCCAGACUUUGUAAAUGAUUCAUUAUUUACAUGAAGCCCUUACACAUCCGAAGAUCUGAUGUAUUACAAAGGCCUCCCUUCCUGAAAUAUAAAAUAAACCAUAGUCGAUUAAUAAAUCCACAGAAAUAAGGGAAGCAAAUGGAAGGAAUUGACACAAGAGCUUCAAGCCUCCAAUGCCUACAAAAUGGCGGACGCCUUACUGGUGACGUCACGUGAAAACUCUCUACAUAUAAUCACAUCCAUUUAACAUGUAGCUCAUUUAUCUCAACAAAUAGAUUUCCGUGUACAAAAAUCAUUUACGUUGUUCUACGGGUGCAACAGUUUGGAGAUAUGCAACGGAGCCCCGAACCAUUUGUCCAGUCGAACGUUCACUUGAUAGUGUUGUCACGUGACCGGUGCCUCGGUGCCUCAUUGGGAGUAAAGAUUUUGGGAAGAACACACGCAUCACGCAAAGCUGGUCUAAAAUUAAACCAUGGACACCAACGAAAUUAUUGUAAUUAUUUACAUCAUUAUCAUCCAUAUAGUGGUGAUGUUGUGGAAUCACAGAAUACAGUUAACUAUAACGAAUGACCAUAUUCUUAUUGAUAUUCGGCCAGUUAUGAAUUUCGUAGAUAUUAUUUGCAUCACUAUCAUCUAUAUUAUGGCAAUUUUUAUGAAUCGCGGAUUAAAGUUAUCCAUAAUGCUCGAUUGUAUUCAUAUUAAUUUACUGACUGGCAUGAUUACUGCAGAAAGGACUGCGAACAUCAACAGAUUAAUUUUACUUAUUAUUUGCAUGACUAUCAUCUGUAUUGUGGCAAAGUUGAGGAAUCACGGUAUAGAGUAUUCCGUACAGCAUGAUCAUAUCCUUAUUGAUAUCAUACCCCGUGAAGAAAUUCCAGAGAUAUAAUUUGCUACUCGAACGGCAUUAUCAUUAUCAUUAUAAUUAUCAAUUAUCAAUAAUUAUCAAUUACUUCCGUAAACCAAGGAAUUAAGUAAUGUCCUGACGCGCAAAUGGUUAAGUGGAAAGCAUUUUUUUUGAGAAACGAAGUCAUGUUCUAAAAAAAAUCUAAAAUAAAUAGAUACAUAGAUGAAUAAAUGUUCUAAAAAUGUAAAAAUAAAAUAAUAAUAAUAAUAAAAAAAAUUCUGAAAAAUGUUCAAAAAUAGAUUAAAAAAAAUAAAAAAUAAAAAAAGCACCAUGGUUACUGGUGCACCACUAUAAUGAAAUUCGAUGAAUUCGAGUAUAUUGCAUUUUAUUGCUGCCCUGAGUAAGAAUAUAAAAUAUAUAAAUCCCACUUCAUGACUGACACAAUUCCAAUAAUAAUCUUUCAGAUAUAUCCAAGCAAGAAAGUGUUAAUCUGUGCCUUAAUCUUUCAAUGAAAAAAAAACACUCAUUUCUAUCUAAAGUGAUUAUAUUGCGAUAUAUUUCAUAUAAAAUCGUUAUUUUUCUUAACAAUGGAUAAGAAUGGAUAAUAAUGGAUAAUGUGGAGUAACUGUAAGAUAAUCCUUUUCCGUAUUUUGUCUUGCGUCACUACCCAGCCAAUUGAUGUUAUUUGAUGGCACUAAUAUAACAUUACAUAUUCAGUUAAUUCACUUAAAAGAUGAUAUUGUAUUAUCUAAAAAAUAAUAAAAAUUGUCUUCUA